rnacentral:rRNA from 1 species
CACGUAGGGCGCAAGCGUUGUCCGGAAUUAUUGGGCGUAAAGAGCUCGUAGGCGGUCUGUUACGUCUGCUGUGAAAGCCCCCGGCUCACCUGGGGAACUGCGCCGGAAACCGACAGACUCGAGUACCGGAGAGGAGGGUGGAAUUCCUGGUGUAGCGGUGAAAUGCGUAGAUAUCAGGAGGAACACCGGUGGCGAAGGCGGCCCUCUGGACGGAUACUGACGCUGAGGCGCGAAAGCUAGGGGAGCGAACGGG